GCGGAUAUAUCUCAAUUGGUAGAGUCCUUGGUUUCCACCCAAGUUAUGUCGGUUCGAUUCCGAUUAUCCGCU
rnacentral:tRNA from 1 species